GCUGGGUGUGGUGGUACACACCUGUAAUCACAGCUGCUCAGGAGGCUGAGGCAGGAGGAUCACAAGUUCAAAUCCAGCUUCAGCAAAAGUGAGGCACUAAGCAACUCAGUGAGACCCUAUCUCUA
rnacentral:sRNA from 1 species